rnacentral:rRNA from 1 species
UACGGGGGGGGCAAGCGUUGUUCGGAAUUACUGGGCGUAAAGGGCUCGUAGGCGGCCAACUAAGUCGGACGUGAAAUCCCUCGGCUUAACCGGGGAACUGCGUCCGAUACUGGAUGGCUGGAGUUCGGGAGAGGGAUGCGGAAUUCCAGGUGUAGCGGUGAAAUGCGUAGAUAUCUGGAAGAACACCGGUGGCGAAGGCGGCAUCCUGGACCGACACUGACGCUGAGGAGCGAAAGCCAGGGGAGCAAACGGG